rnacentral:misc_RNA from 1 species
GAUAAGAGGGGGCUUGCCCCCGAUGGCGGAGUUUCAGUACCAAAUCCAUUGGCUGAACCACCGCUAUCGGGGGCAAGCCCCCUCCCACA